rnacentral:rRNA from 1 species
GACGAACGCUGGCGGCGUGCCUAAUACAUGCAAGUUGAGCGCUGAAGGUUGGUACUUGUACCAACUGGAUGAGCAGCGAACGGGUGAGUAACGCGUGGGGAAUCUGCCUUUGAGCGGGGGACAACAUUUGGAAACGAAUGCUAAUACCGCAUAAAAACUUUAAACACAAGUUUUAAGUUUGAAAGAUGCAAUUGCAUCACUCAAAGAUGAUCCCGCGUUGUAUUAGCUAGUUGGUGAGGUAAAGGCUCACCAAGGCGAUGAUACAUAGCCGACCUGAGAGGGGGAUCGGCCACAUUGGGACUGAGACACGGCCCAAACCCCUACGGGAGGCAGCAGUAGGGAAUCUUCGGCAAUGGACGAAAGUCUGACCGAGCAACGCCGCGUGAGUGAAGAAGGUUUUCGGAUCGUAAAACUCUGUUGGUAGAGAAGAACGUUGGUGAGAGUGGAAAGCUCAUCAAGUGACGGUAACUACCCAGAAAGGGACGGCUAACUACGUG